AUUGAACGCUGGCGGAAUGCUCUACACAUGCAAGUCGAACGGUAACAGGGUGCUUGCACCGCUGACGAGUGGCGAACGGGUGAGUAAUGCGUCGGAACGUGCCGAGUAGUGGGGGAUAACGCAGCGAAAGUUGUGCUAAUACCGCAUACGUACUGAGGUAGAAAGUGGGGGACCUUCGGGCCUCACGCUAUUCGAGCGGCCGACGUCUGAUUAGCUAGUAGGUGAGGUAAAGGCUCACCUAGGCGACGAUCAGUAGCGGGUCUGAGAGGAUGAUCCGCCACACUGGGACUGAGACACGGCCCAGACUCCUACGGGAGGCAGCAGUGGGGAAUUUUGGACAAUGGGCGAAAGCCUGAUCCAGCCAUGCCGCGUGUCUGAAGAAGGCCUUCGGGUUGUAAAGGACUUUUGUCGGGGAGGAAAUCCCCAGCGUUAAUACCGCUGGGGGAUGACAGUACCUGAAGAAUAAGCACCGGCUAACUACGUGCCAGCAGCCGCCGUAACAC
rnacentral:rRNA from 1 species